UGUGGAAACCGGGUUGUUUUUGUUUUGGAUUCGUGUUAGACCCAGGGACAAAAACAAUGUCUUUCAUAACAAACACCAGAACAAAGUAUGGCCCUUUGUUUUAAAUUGGUGCGAAACAACCAGCGGCCGAGACGGAACGGUGCAGCGAUACCGUGGGAGGCCAUGGAACACAUCUACGUCGACAAGGACAACCUCAUAUCGGUUCGGGCAGUUGUACUCGCCCAUGGCCGAUAACUAGGCUUAGCUACCUUCGACCAUAUUAUGCACAUUCGCCAGCAUUUCGGAAAAGCUGAAUAUUGGAUCUCAACCCCCAUCAGCUGUUCCCGCUUCUUUAACUUUUUCACGAAAGAAUUUGCGACAGCACACAGAUCGCUUCGGCAGCAAAGACGUGUACCAGGUGAACCUUCUUCCGCAAACGACUACCCCAGGGAUCAACCCAACCGACGACGUCCAGAACAAACCGGUAAAAGUAUCAAGUGUUGAUGACGACUGCGGAAGUGGCCAAACGAGCGGGUUGACGACGUGAGCGCCGCACGGAGCAUCGAUCUGGAGCAGCGGACGGUCAGUGUUCAAAACAAGAACAUGCUGGCCUCAGACGACAGCUUCGCCUACGAGCAGGAAGAGGCUGUUGAUUGUGAACCAAUAAAGGCACCUUCCAAAGAGUAUCUGCUACCGGAAGCAGCGGCGGCCAGUACAAGUCAGCACCGGCAAUCACCGCCACCACACCGAUCCAGACGACUGACAAACCGUUCCUAACUAACACUAACAAAAAAUUAUUCAAAAUAAAAAUUCCCCGUUAAUUCUGGUCGAUUCUGGCUGACUCACUCAA